rnacentral:tRNA from 1 species
UCCCUGAUGGCUCAAGGGGUAAAGAAUCUGCCUGCAAUGCAGGAGACACAGGAGACGUGGGUUCGAUCCCUGGGUUGGGAA